ACAGAAACAAAGGUCAAAACAUGGAUUCGGCAGGAAGUCACUUUCCUGCACGGAUACACUGAAUGAGAACGGCUCCUACAAUUGCAUUGGAUACUCUCUUGUUAUUCCUUGAUACUGUUCUGGUUAUUGGACGCCGGAUUCCAGCCCUACUCGAUCACAACAACAGUGACCAUAAUUCGUAAAGGAAAGAAAAUUGCUUUGGCCCUUUUUGACAUAUAUGCUGUUUACAGAAAUCUUGCUGAACACAGGCCUCUUUCAGACAGAUGUUCAGAUUUCAGACAAAGAACGUCACCGUGAAGGCGGAAUGCUGAUUCUGCCCACAGAUGAUCCCGGAUCCGGGCAGAAGUCGGUUCUGCCGAAAUCCUCAAAAAAUCUGGUUUUGGUAGGGCAAAUCUGAUGGCAGAAUAUAGUAUUAAUGGUAAGACUCUUGGCAGUGUGGAGGAUCAGAGGGAUCUUGGGGUCCGAGUCCAUAGGACGCUCAAAGCAGCUACGCCGCUUGACACUGUUGUUAAGAAGGCACACGGUGUAUUGACCUUCAUUAGUCGUGGAAUUGAAUUUAGGACCCGAGUGGUAAUGUUGCAGCUAUAUAGAACCCUGGGCAAACCAAACUUGGAGUACUGUGCUCAGUUCCGGUCGCCUCACUAGAGGAAGGAUGUGGAAGCCACAGAAAGGGUGCAGAGGAGGUGUACAAGGAUGUUGGCUGGAAUAGGGAGGAUGCCUUAUGAGAAUAGUUUGAGUGAACUCUGCCUUUUCUCCUUAGAGCGACGGAGGAUGAGAGGUGACCUGAUAAGAUGAUGAGAGGCACUGACCGUGUGGAUAGUCAGAGGCUCUUUCUCAAGGCUGAAAUGGUUGAAACAAGUGAACACAAGUUUAAGGUGUUGGGGAAUAGGUACAGAGGAGAUAUUACAGAGAGUGGUGAGUUCGUGGAAUGAACAGGAUUGAACAACUUUUCAUAAGCAGAGUGUUUGAUGGUUUUGGGCCUCUGCCGACUGGAAAUCAGAAGAAUAUGGGGUGACGUCAUGAGACCUAUCGAAUUGUGAAAGGCCUUAUUAGAGUGGAUGUGGAGAGGAUGUUUCCCAUGGCGGUGAAAGUUCCGUCUGUCCGUAGCACUCCAGAAACAAUAAGUGUGCUGUUGUCCGCACUUAGUUCAAUCCUGCCGCCAGGAAUUAUCAUGCUAUUCUCCUCAAGCCACAGGUGUAGCCAUAUCAUUCAUCGCCUCAAGGACCCUUCUGCCGAUCUCGUUCAUGCUGACCAAGCUAUUUCGUUGAACUAGUCCCAUUUGCCUGCAACUG